rnacentral:tRNA from 1 species
ACUAAGAUGUCAGAUUAAAUGAAUUGAAUUUAAGCUUCAAAUAUGAAUAAUAUUUCUCUUAGUA